rnacentral:misc_RNA from 1 species
GAUGAAGAACGCAGUAAAAUGCGAUACUUGGUGUGAAUUGCAGAAUCCCGUGAACCAUCGAGUUUUUGAACGCAAGUUGCGCCCGAAGCCUUUUGGCCGAGGGCACGUCUGCCUGGGCGUCACGCAUCGCGUCGCCCCCCACAAUUCUCCGUAAAGGGAACAUGUGUUUUGGGGGCGGAUAUUGGUCUCCCGUGCUCAUGGCGUGGUUGGCCGAAAUAGGAGUCCUUUCGAUGGACGCACGAACUAGUGGUGGUCGUAAAAACCCUCGUCUUUUGUUUCGUGCUGUUGCUCGCAAGGUAAACUCUUUAAAAACCCCAAUGUGUCGUCUCUUGACGACGCUUCGACCGCGACCCCAGGUCAGGCGGGACUACCCGCUGAGUUUAAGCAUAUCAAUAAGCGGAGGA